CUCGACUCUCCCACCCUUUGUGAACGUACCUCUGUUGCUUUGGCGGCUCCGGCCGCCAAAGGACCUUCAAACUCCAGUCAGUAAACGCAGACGUCUGAUGAACAAGUUAAUAAACUAAAACUUUCAACAACGGAUCUCUUGGUUCUGGCAUCGAUGAAGAACGCAGCGAAAUGCGAUAAGUAAUGUGAAUUGCAGAAUUCAGUGAAUCAUCGAAUCUUUGAACGCACAUUGCGCCCCUUGGUAUUCCGGGGGGCAUGCCUGUUCGAGCGUCAUUACAACCCUCAAGCUCUGCUUGGAAUUGGGCACCGUCCUCACUGCGGACGCGCCUCAAAGACCUCGGCGGUGGCUGUUCAGCCCUCAAGCGUAGUAGAAUACACCUCGCUUUGGAGCGGUUGGCGUCGCCCGCCGGACGAACCUUCUGAACUUUUCUCAAGGUUGACCUCGGAUCAGGUAGGGAUACCCGCUGAACUUAAGCAUAUCAAUAAGCGGAGGAAG
rnacentral:rRNA from 1 species